rnacentral:lncRNA from 1 species
CCGUGUCAUCGCGUUUCCCGCACCUUUCCAAAUCCCUUGCUCAUUCGGCAAAGCAUCGAACUGUUUUUCUUACUUGAUUGGUCUUUUUUUUUUCACUCUGUUUCUCUCCUUCCGUAAGAGAACAUACUUCGCUGAGCAAUACCUGCAUUCAUCUCGGAAUCAUACUGCGACUCCUUAUUCCUGUCGCUUUGAUUGCUGCGAAACGUCCUCGUGACAUCAUAGCUUAGUUUUCGGCGCUAUUUUGUCGGCACAUAUCCUAAGUUUUCAAUUUCAUCUUUUUGACGCAAAUCGUGAUUUUACACCAUUCAAUUACCAUUGUUACAUAAAUUAAUGAAACUUGAUCUAUUUUAUACAAUCGUUCAACGAACCACAGGCGAGAGAAAAACACGACCAACGAUCAGCUGUCAGCCUGAUUUCAAGGUUAGUUUGAUGUCUUUCCACCAGGCACUGCGUUGCAAAGUGAUAAUUGCAAUGGUCUGGACGUCCUGCAGACGGCGCUACUGAUCGUGCGAGUGUUGAAGGAAGGCAUGGAACCUAUCCAAAAACGCUUUUCGUUCCGCAUCUGUUUUGCGCCACCUAGCUAUGUAGGUACUGAAAACACGCUCGGUCGACCGUUUCCUUCUCGGAGGAUUCGUAAAUCUCUUGUCGGGCGCGUCGGGACGACGGGACGACGGGAAACGGACGGACGGAUUCCCAGUUGAAACACGCGACCACUAAUCUGUCCGUCUCGUUGAAUAGUUGCGGCCCGGACGGACGCAUACAUACCACAUAUCGUUUUCAACAGUGUGAAGAAGCGAACAAGACUCAAACCGCGCGGAUCGUUGCUAUUAUAUACAUACGUAUAACGGUUUACUCUAUUCAAGAUACUUUUCUAAAUGUAUGCGUUAAGAGAACUUGGGGAAAACUGUAUCCGCCCUAGCAGAGGCAGGAUUUCCGUUAAAAUUUAUUAUACGACAGAGAUUUUUACGACACAUUCAGAAUCGUCCGUGGGUGAUGAUGAUUUUUACACAUGUCACACUAAUUUUUCGAGCAGUCAUAGCUGUACCAAAAUUUAUAAAAAUCAUUGUAAUGGCUUGUGUUUAAAGGAGGAAUGGAGAAAUUAUGCGGUCAAAAAAUCUCGAGCGAUGUGUUAUUUGCAGCAAUGACAGUGAAUGAGAAUAAAACAUCAUUACUGCUAUGUGAUAGACGGAUCAUGGAUCGAAAUGACCAAAGUUUGAUCACUUCAAACGUCACUUUGUGUUCGUUAGAAUUCAUUUUUAUUAGAUAGCAAGAAUGUCGUUCCAUACUUCUUCACUGUCAUUGCAAUGGCAUGAAUAAAAUUGAUGAAGAUCUUUUUAAUGGUUAUGUUUCUCUUCCUAACUUUUGAUUCAGACUGGUCUCAUUUAUUCUCAGGAUUCUAAACUGAUCACAACCUACUACCUAUAGCACGAGUAUUUUAUUUUUGCAGACGACAAACAAUCUUAAACUCAUCCAAUUUUGCCGAAUGACAGUUUAAAGAGUUCAAGUCCGAAACUCAGACGUUCUCAAAAAACGGUCCCGCUAACCAAAUGAAACCCAGCGGCAAAACGAUUUACCACCUAACGGCGAAGGGUUCCAGCGAUGCAAUUAAGCGUAGAAAUUUCGUCCAAUUGAAAAAAGCCAGUCGUAAGAGGACCGUGGAAGGCAGAAGGGUUUGAAUGUAGUUUGGCGAAACAAAAGCAGCGCAGAGUGAUAUUCGAGCUGUGUGGGUGACGACGGAGAACGAGGAUCCAUGAAUCUGUGGGGGAUGAGCGUACUGCUUCUAUGUCUUAACCUUCCCUACCGGAUGUUAAAACUCGCAAGGCUGCCGCAGCCUACGGGAACGAAUUAAUUUAUCGACCGGUUGGCAGGACUCCAGUAGCGCUCAGCCACUCCUCGCCUUAAAGUCCCAUGCAAGUACCAAGCCCCUGAUCCUUGACGCUCCGCGUCCUGCGAAAAGGACUCCAACGUCUCGCGAAGGGUUUCGGUUACACACACGUUUCAGCCGAAGGACGACCUCCUUGAUCGAGGACAUUAACGUUCGCCAAGGAUUAUUGGGGGCAGAAGACCCUGCGGCCUUGGAUUAACUUUACACCCUCCGUCCGGCCCCGAAUUAUUCCUUAGACUCGCCCCUAAUGCCUCUAAUCCCCGGUUCUUCUGCUCCUGCUGAACCUCUUGAGGAAAGCACGAAGCUGGUUCUUCGAAGGACUUCCGUGAGAAGACCUCGAAGUGUAAUUCUAAUUUUGAUCCCGAGCUUCUGCUCCUCGUCAAAGCCACCCUGCUCCUGGUGCAGUUGAGGGGUGGGUAAGAAAAGUGAAUAGAUUCUUCUCUCGAGGAUGGCGAAGCAAUCAACUGCCUUGCGGAUUAUACAAUACAUCUAUAGAUGUACCGCUUCUAGUCACCUUGGUACCAUUACGUACGAACUAAGAUUAUGGCCACAAAUGCUUCAGAUAGAGGUGCUUUUAACUUACCACUAACUUCGAAAGAAUAUAGUGUACCAUGUACUGAGAAGUUCUGUAAUUUGUUCACGAAUUGUGUUGUCGAAGAGAUCCAUGAUUAAAUUACCGAAUUCUGCUGACGAUGAGUCUAAUGAAGGUCAGCACAAAUGAUGGAUCUACCCUGUAAUCCUACAUGUGGUCAAUUGAUACAGUGUACCAAGUAUUGAGAAAUUCUGUAUUUUGGUUGCGAAUCGUGCUGUCGAAGAGAUCCAAGUUUAAAUUAUCGAAUACUGUGGACGAUGAGUCUUACGAAGGUGAACGCAAAUGUUGGAUCUACCCUGCAAUCCUACAUAUGGCACGGUACGCGUUUAAGUUUCGGUGCAACAGUGGCGCAUUCUUUGCGCGCGUUGAGUAGCCGCGUAAAAACGAACGGCUUCUUUGGAAAAACGAAGAGUGCGAUAAAUCCUUCACUGUCCAGUGGAUGCAUGCAUGCAUGCACAGCACCAGCAGUAGCAGCAUGCGGUCUGAGCGACGGGGGGAGAACGGGAAAAACAAACCGGAGUUUUGUUGGUGCGAUCGGAGCAACUCGCACGUGUGCAUCGCCGACGACUGUGGUGGAUGGACAAGGAUGCCUCCAACCGAGACCUGCAACACUGCUGAUGUCAAUCGGAGUGAAACGAGAUGUAGCAAAGGGGAACAAAUCGAGCAAAGUGGGCUUGACCGAGAGGCCGCGGCUCGAGGGAUGAUGGGAAGAGAAGGGAGGCGAUUCUUUGUUCAGCCACGCAAAACGCGGAUAUAUGAGAGAGUGGCGACGCGGUCUGCACGGCUCUUUAGAGUCCGCUUCCUGCAACCAACGUUUCUUCGUCCCCCCACCCCUUACUUUGCACCCUCUGCGAAUGACCAGCGCGUAACCCCAACGAUCCGGGGCACCAACUCUGCUAUGGUAAUAACGGAUUAUCAGGAUGUACGAGGAUACGCGAACUCCGAAAUCGCUUUGGUUUAGUUUCGGGGUGAAAAGGACGGUGCUUCGCGCUUAUGGCACAAAUUGAAAGCCGACUACAAGGCGUUUCAUCAUCAACACUCGUCUUCUUUAUUUCGUCUUAUUAUAUCGGUGAGAUUCAUUGGUAGACCUUAAAUCGAUCUCUAGAUUUUCUACCUACUUCAACAGCGGCGCUUUAACUGGAUGCAGAUGAACUGUCUGAAAAAACAGGAGCAUCUCAAAGGAUUUUGUCCUUUUUCAAAAAUGUAGAAAAAAUAUUGCAGGCACGAUGUGUCGAAUCAAAUGCUCAGGGAACAAACCUGAUUACGGUCGGAGAGACAGGGUAAAGUCAGGGAUUUUCUAAUCCGAUUUGAGCAGCCACCCUAUUUAACCUUUCGAGUCUGACAACCACUCCGGUUAAAGGAAAAACUUCUGCUAAAACCGCCUGCCAAACACUUCUCUGGGUCCAAGUAUGUAGAAAAUGACAGUUUCGAAAAUGUCGGUGUUCGAAUUCUCCUACCUGAAUAAAUGAACCUCUUGUAAACAAUUUCUGGUAUAAAAACUGUUUUCCCGGUCCUCGAAAGUUUGUUAAAUUUUUAUAGAAUACUUCUUACAUUUGAAUCGACUAACGUACACAACAAAAUAGCUGUUUCCUUAAAGGAGUAAUAACCAUAAAAUCUAGAUCAGUAAAAAAGAAAAUCAAGAUUCCUUGACCUGACUUUCCUCUAAACAUGGAUCGUGUAUUGUUCACGGUUUGCAUUGAUGCAAAAUGAACAAGCAAUGCAGCGUAAUAGAAAGGGAGACUGUUGAAUCGUCCUGUAGGCCUGGUGGACCCCUCGGGAGGAGUGAGUGAGGCCUAAAGAGUGAGUUAGCAGCAGACCACUUGUCCGGCAUAAUCCUCCCCUGGCCGUUUCCUCAUACCUACUCGAAAACCCUGCAGAAGGACUCGGACCACCGUCGAGGUGUAUAUAUACGUAUAUCCGUGAUAUAUCCCUGCAGUCUCAUAUAAUCCCCGGAAAUGUCCGUCCCAGCGUAAAAUAAUAUGUCGUCUAGCGUCAGCGGGUGCAAAAUCGUCCGAAGGUGCAGCGUGUACGAGCCUCGCGGAAUAAAGGGUCUGGGGGUGAAGGAUAUCCUCGGGACUAACCCC